ensembl:processed_transcript
UCGCGCCCGGGGCCCACCGCACCAGUGCCAGUUGUUCACGUUGGUCCCGUCCUCCCGCUCCUCCACGAUCCAGCGCGGGUCCCCCUGGCCCCACUUGGCCAUGGCGGCGCUGACGACGACGGCCCUGGUAGCGGGAGCGCGCGGGUUUCCGGCCAGAAGUGAUCCUCUAGAGACAAAAGAUGGUGCUUGCAAGUGCCCGGGAUUGUGGAUACAGUUACAAUAAGGGUUUAUUAAUUCUUUCCAUCGUUUUUCACUUUCUAGCAAAAACUGAAGCCACCAUCUGGAAAGUGUUAGUAAGGAGAUUAUUUUAACAAAUAAAAUAGGUAGUUCAAUGGGAGAUGGGG